rnacentral:rRNA from 1 species
UACAGAGGGGGCAAGCGUUGUUCGGAAUUACUGGGCGUAAAGGGCGCGUAGGCGGCCCUCUAAGUCAGACGUGAAAUCCCUCGGCUCAACCGGGGAACUGCGUCUGAUACUGGAUGGCUUGAGAUCGGGAGAGGGAUGCGGAAUUCCAGGUGUAGCGGUGAAAUGCGUAGAUAUCUGGAGGAACACCGGUGGCGAAGGCGGCAUCCUGGACCGACACUGACGCUGAGGAGCGAAAGCCAGGGGAGCAAACGGG